GGUGCUAUAGAAGAUUAUUUCGGAGUAGAACUCUCUUGUUCAACUUAGCAUGUUCGCUAAGUAGCUUUAACCUAACUAAAAUAUUUUUAACUACAAAUCUCUAUAAUACAUAAUUAUAUUAACUUAUUAAUCUUAGAAAAUUUUGGACAUUCUACUUUGUGGAACACUUUUUUAAAAUAAAUUGCAUGUUUCGCUAUUAAAUGCUAAGAGUUUCGGACCACAUGGUUUCUAUCAUCCCAUGUUGAUAUAUUGUUAUCAUGAAGCAUUGGUUGGCACAAGAUUUAUGCCACCACUAGUGCAAUUUGUGCCGGAAUCUUGUGCCGAAGUUAUAUUGCUGGCAUGUAUCGUACUCAAUACAAUACGA
rnacentral:lncRNA from 1 species